GAAAGUAAAGAAGGGCGCAUGGCGGAUGCCUUGGCUCUCGGAGGCGAUGAAGGACGUGAUAAGCUGCGAUAAGCUUUGGGGAGGUGCAAAUGACCUUUGAUCCAGAGAUUUCCGAAUGGGACAACCCAAUAUCUUGAAGAGGUAUUAUCUUACUAUGUAAGAGGCUAACGCAGGGAACUGAAACAUCUUAGUACCUGCAGGAAAAGAAAAUAAACAAUGAUUCCCCCAGUAGUGGCGAGCGAACGGGGAACAGCCCAAACCAUCCAUGUUACGGCAUGGGUGGGGUUGUAGGACUACGCCGUUGCAUGAAGACAUCAGAGAAGAACUUUCUGGAAAGAAAGACCAUAGAGCAUGACAGUUGCGUAUUCGAAUGUUGUCGAAGCAUAGUAGUAUCCUGAGUAGCGCGGAGCACGAGGAAUUCUGCGUGAAUCUGCCGGGACCAUCCGGUAAGGCUAAAUACUCCCGAGAGACCGAUAGCGAACCAGUACCGUGAGGGAAAGGUGAAAAGCACUUCGAACAGAAGAGUGAAAUAGUUCCUGAAACCGUGCGCCUACAAGCGGUCGGAGCUCGUUAAUGAGUGACGGCGUGCCUUUUGCAUAAUGAACCUACGAGUUGCCUUUGCCGGCAAGGUUAAGUGUGACGACACACGUAUCCGAAGCGAAAGCGAGUCUGAACAGGGCGUAUAGUCGGCAGUGGCAGACGCGAAACCAAGUGAUCUACCCUUGGCCAGGUUGAAGGCUGGGUAACACCAGCUGGAGGACCGCACCAAUAAGCGUUGAAAAGCUUCUGGAUGAGCUGAGGGUAGGGGUGAAAGGCUAAUCAAACUUGGAGAUAGCUCGUACUCCCCGAAAUGCAUUUAGGUGCAGCCUUGCGGGUUACUGAUGUGAGGUAGAGCGACUGAUAAGAUGCGAGGGCUUCACCGCCUAUCAAGUCUUGACAAACUCCGAAUGCGCAUCAGUUCUACCGCAGGAGUGAGGGCAUGGGUGCUAAGGUCCGUGCCCGAGAGGAGAAGAAUCCGGACCACCUGCUAAGGUCCCGAAAUGACAGCUAAGUUAAACUAACGAAGUCUGACUGCUAAGACAGCUAGGAUGUUGGCUUGGAAGCAGCCAUUCAUUUAAAGAGUGCGUAACAGCUCACUAGUCGAGGAGUCGGGCGUGGAUAAUAAUCGGGUAUCAAGUUGUCUACCGAAGCAGUGGGAUCAUUUAUAUGAUCGGUAGGGGAGCAUUCCAGUCGGCGUCGAAGGCGUACCGUGAGGUAUUCUGGAGCGUCUGGAAAAGCAAAUGUAGGUAUAAGUAACGAUAAAGGGGGCGGGAAACCCCCUCGCCGAAAGACUAAGGUUUCCUGAUCAACGCUAAUCGGAUCAGGGUCAGUCGGGUCCUAAGGCUCAGCCGAACGGCGAUGCCGAUGGCAGAAACGGUUAAUAUUCCGUUACUACCUUCAGGAGUGACGUGGAGACGCAGUAGUGACAGUGCCGCCAUCUGACGGAAUAGAUGGUUGAAGGGUGUAGGAGUCGAUCAUGGCAGGCAAAUCCACCAUGAGAUCCGAACCUGACAGUAUGCCGCGUCCUUCGGGACAAGGCAAUAGUGCGCGUAAGCAUGCUGCCGAGAAAAUCCGCUAAACUUAAUCCUGCAGGUACCCGUACCGCAAACGGACACACGUAGUCGGGAUGAAUAUUCUAAGGCGCUUGAGUGAUUCACGGUUAAGGAACUAGGCAAACUGACCCUGUAACUUCGGGAUAAAGGGUCCCUACCCUUUUAUGGGAGGGCGCAGAGAAUCGGUCCAGGCAACUGUUUAACAAAAACACAGGGCUGUGCCAAAUCGAAAGAUCCAGUAUACAGCCUGACACCUGCCCGGUGCUGGAAGGUUAAGAGGAGAUGUCAUCGAUAAGAGAAGCGUUGAAUUGAAGCCCCAGUAAACGGCGGCCGUAACUAUAACGGUCCUAAGGUAGCGAAAUUCCUUGUCGGGUAAGUUCCGACCUGCACGAAUGGUGUAAUGAUCUGGACGCUGUCUCAACCGUGAGCUCAGUGAAAUUGUAGUAUCGGUGAAGAUGCCGAUUACCCGCGAUGGGACGAAAAGACCCCGUGAACCUUUACUAUAGCUUAUCAUUGAAUCUGGGCACGUGAUGUGUAGGAUAGGUCGGAGGCUUUGAAGCAGGUACGCCAGUAUUUGUGGAGCCGCUGUUGAAAUACGACCCUUUAUUUGUUUGGAUUCUAACCCGUGGAACGGGGACAUUGAUUGGUGGGUAGUUUGACUGGGGUGGUCGCCUCCAAAAGCGUAACGGAGGCUUCUAAAGGUGCCCUCCGGCCGAUUGGUAACCGGCCUUAGAGUGUAAUGGCAUAAGGGCGCUUGACUGGGAGACUGACAAGUCGAUCAGGUAGGAAACUAGAGCAUAGUGAUCCGGUGUUUCCGUAUGGAAGGGACAUCGCUCAAAGGAUAAAAGGUACUCCGGGGAUAACAGGCUGAUCCCUCCCAAGAGCUCAUAUCGACGGAGUGGUUUGGCACCUCGAUGUCGGCUCGUCACAUCCUGGGGCUGGAGAAGGUCCCAAGGGUUGGGCUGUUCGCCCAUUAAAGUGGCACGCGAGCUGGGUUCAGAACGUCGUGAGACAGUUCGGUCUCU
rnacentral:rRNA from 1 species